rnacentral:rRNA from 1 species
UGGGGAAUUUUGGACAAUGGGGGCAACCCUGAUCCAGCCAUCCCGCGUGUGCGAUGAAGGCCUUCGGGUUGUAAAGCACCUUUGGCAGGGAAGAAACAGCCUGGGCUAAUAUCCCGGGCGACUGACGGUACCUGCAGAAUAAGCACCGGCUAACUACGUGCCAGCAGCCGCGGUAAUACGUAGGGUGCAAGCGUUAAUCGGAAUUACUGGGCGUAAAGCGUGCGCAGGCGGUUCGGAAAGAAAGGUGUGAAAUCCCAGGGCUUAACAUUGGAACUGCACUUUUAACUACCGUGCUAGAGUACGUCAGAGGGGGGUAGAAUUCCACGUGUAGCAGUGAAAUGCGUAGAGAUGUGGAGGAAUACCGAUGGCGAAGGCAGCCCCCUGGGAUGAUACUGACGCUCAUGCACGAAAGCGUGGGGAGCAAACA